AAACGUGAUGACUUUCAUAGAAUCUCAUUUGGCUGAUGAUUGCUGUUGAGAUACAGAAAUCUGACUUCC